ACUUCUCAGAGCUCUUUCCUUUAUCACUUGUCUUCAUACUUAACCUCUCCUGCAUGAAAAGCCUUGUCACUCAAGCCAGACUUAAGAAUUAGGCAACUUCUUCAUCUCCUGAAGUAGUCACUCAUGGAUUUCUGCUGUGCUUUUUAUCUUUCUGCUUUCUCAUAUUUGUUUUCUCUACGUGCCUACUAUCUCUUCCCUAAGUAAAAGUUUUUGUGCUAUCCUCUAUACUACUAACACAGAAAGUCAUCCUUUCCCUAUUUUCCUUGCCUACAGAAUUUGCUAAAGCAAAUUCUCUAAAGUUCAAAUAUGGUCAUACCAUUUGCCUGCUUACACUUUUCCUUUGGCCUCUGUAGUUUCGACAUACUGCCCAAAUCCCUUAGCCUGGCAUAUAAGGGCCCCCAUCUUCCCCUGUGCUUCUCUCUAGCCCCACUUCCCCCUCCCCCUCCCCAUGUGCAUCUUUUGUUCCAACUGCUGAAUUCUUGAAGGUCUCAGCAUACCUUAACUUUGUCUUUCUCUGUGACAUUCUUUCAUCACUGUCUAUCCUUUCCAAAUUCCUACUGGCACUAUCUUCACUUCACCAACUUUAUUCAAUAUUCCAACCUAGCCUGGUUUGUCAGGCAACUUUUGACCCACCAUAACAUGUGUUACACUUAAAGGUUUAUGUGUCUGUCAUAUCAAGCUUUCUUGAGGGCAGGGAUGAUGUUAUGCAUUUCUUACCACCUAGAUUUUUAAACAUCACUGGUAUAUGGCAGGUACCCACAAAUGUUUGUCGAAUGAAAGAGUGAUAUCCUCUAACAAUUUCAGACUAUAUACUACUUUAGUUUAUAGUAUAGUGUUCUUGGUAAGUAGUGUUGUUCUGUGAUAUACAGUAUUGACAUUCUCUUCUUCACCCAAGUGUUUUGAG
rnacentral:lncRNA from 1 species